ensembl:lncRNA
GUUCUCCUGCGCUGAGGCAGAUGGAAAAUAGGAAAGAGGAGCAGGGGUAAAUUCAGCUUACUCAGGUCUUCUGCUCCAGCAGGGUUCUCAUCGCGCUGUGAGCGUGUGUGUUUUUUCUCUGUCUGUCAGGUCCUCUUCACGAGCAGCGCUAACUUUAAGUGGGACAGACAGAGUUCCAUGUGCUGGUCUGAAACCAAAGAAAUGUGGAAGAAUGUGAAUGUGUGUUUUGCAGGCUAUGGGGUCACCGGCAGGUCCUCAUCUCCUCAGACCAGACCAGACGAUGAGGAGGGGAAGCAGCUUGGUGCGCUGCGGCGGCGUGCUGGGUAGGACUCUGUAAUCUGGGACAUGGCCUUGGGCUGCGACUAAAUGAAAAAUGAAACAGUGCAGCGUCGGGGGCCUUAAAUGUUUGCAAAUCGGAGACGGACUAAACCUGGCUGAACACAGAAAAACACACACAGUGCAGACUGCAAACAGAUCUCCCACAAAACAGCCCCCUCUGACCCGCUUUCCUGGCCUGGUUCUGGCCCAAGUCCAAACAUACUCAGGUACACACCAAAGGCGUUUUCUUCACCAGUGGUCCGCCUCUGGUUUAUUUUCCUUGUAAAGGCUGCUUUGUUUUCAUGAUUAAUCAGAGUGAAGGGUUCCCAAGCACGAUUCAUGACCGCAAUUGAAUGCAUUUUUUACUUCAAUAAACAAAAUAUUUAGCAAGUGUUGUUGUUCUUUGGCCCGGAUUCUUGCGUAACAGUAAUAUGCUUAACAAAGCACAGAUGCUGUAUCAGCCUGGAGACAUACGUCUGCGUUACAGAGGGAGAGAGACUUUUCAGAAUGUCCCUACCUUUGCUUGAGCUACAAGAAACACUCUGACCUUUCCCUGGACUUUGCUGACCUAUUCGCUCGGUAUCAUGUUUGUUUUGUGACAUUUGGGUUCUGCUUUCCACGCGUGCUUAAGUGAAAAAGCAGGAGAGGAAGGGAGGGGGUGUAAAAUGUGAUGGAACGGGAGACAAGAGGCAAAAUCGGAAAGAUAUACAGAGUGAGAGGCAAAACGGGGUGAAGUGAGGGGAAGAGGCUCCAGCCCUCAACAGAUGGAGUACACGGUACAUUUUGCACUAGGUGCCGAG